AUGGAAGCUGAACUCACAUCACUGGAUGCAGCUACGGUCGAAGCAGAUUGGCUUCGUCGGCUCUUGAAUGACUUGCCGGUUGUUGAGCAACCUAUACCGGGUGUCCUUAUGAACUGCGACAAUCAAACUGUGAUCACGAAAGUGAGCAGCUCAAAGGAUAACAUGAAGUCAUCAAUACACGUUCAGAGAAGGUUAAAGUUUGUCAGAAAAAUGAGAAACUCCGGAAUUAUUGCACUGGAUUAUAUCCAAACGUCUAAAAAUCUGGCAGAUCCUUUUACUAAGGCUUUAUCACGUAAUGUGAUAGAUAAUGCAUCGGGGGAGAUGGGUAUGAGACCCUCAAUAUGA
rnacentral:rRNA from 1 species